UUUUCUACACUAUAUGGACUUGUCCCUUUGCUAUCCUUUCUCCGUAUAACAAAUCUGCGCACCCACCUUCCCCCACCCUCUUCUUCUUCUUCUUCUCUUUCUUCUUGAGGUCAAUGUUGCUUCAGAUAGUUGGUAGUACGCACGUCUCAGUGUUCUUUCGUCUCAACGGAAUUGAGGUUUCUUUUUGAACUUUUAGAUUGGUUAGGUUUGAAGUGUAUGCAUUCUAAUGGGGGGUGAGAGUGGGAUUGAGUCGUGGUUUGGUAGUAUGAGGUGGAUUCCAUGGAAGGGUGUGUCAGAUGCUGAAAAGGGGGGGAUUGAAAUUUUGGCGUUUGAAGUUGCUAGCUUGAUGUUGAAGGUGGUUAAUUUAUGGCAAUGCUUGAGUGAUAAGGAGGUUCAUAGGUUGAGGAAAGAGAUUGUGAACUCGAUUGGGCUUAAGAAGCUUUUAUCCGAGGAUGAUGAUUAUCUGAUGGAAAUUGCCUUGAAUGAAAUAGUUGAGAAUUUCGUAUUUCUGGCAAGGUCUGUGGCCAGGCUUGGGAAGAGGUGCAAAGACCCUUUGUAUCACCAUUUUGAACAUUUUGUUAAUGACCCUAUUCAGAAUGGCUUUCAAUGGGUGGGGUGGGAAUAUAGAUGGAAGAAGAUGGAGCGGAAGAUGAAGAAAAUGGAGAGAUUUGUUGCCUCUAUGACACAAUUUUCACAAGAGCUGGAAGUGCUGGCGGAGCUCGAACAAACUCUUAGGAGAAUGCAGAAUACCGAGCUAAACCGGGUAAAAGUGCUCGAGUUUCAGAAGAAGGUAAUCUGGCAUCGUCAGGAAGUGAGAAAUCUGAGAGAGAUGUCCCCAUGGAAUAGAACUUAUGAUUAUGUUACCCGGCUUCUGGUGCGAUCACUUUUUACGAUACUAGAGAGGAUGAAGCAUGUCUUUGGAACUUAUCAAGUGCCUUCUUUAGAGCGAAUGACUGAUUCUCAGCUUAUGAAUAUUGAAUGUUUUCCUCGCAGCCAUUCCUUUUCCACUCUUCUGCAUUCAUCUGUUCAUCCAUCUGAGAAUAAUCUGCCUGGGUUCUAUUCAGGACCUAUUGAGAGGUCGGUUUCAACGCGAGGAAAAAAUGGUGACAUGAGUAGGAGAAAGGACAAGCAACGACAUGAGCGUCAUUUGUCAUCGACCAUACAUGGAAACCACCUAAAAGUGGAAGCCAAUCAAUUAGCUCAUGUUGGAUCUUUCAAAGGGUGGUGCAUGAAUGCUGCAAGCGAAUCUCCUGUUAUGCUGAGCUGUAAGCCAACCGGCAGCAGUUCUAUGAGGUUGACUGGUGUUCGUAUGAAAAGUAUUGACAAAACCAGUAACACAAAUAUUGAAUCUUUAUCUUGCAGUGACAGGAUAUAUUCUAAAUUGUUGUUAUUCAAUAAGCGUAGGUUGUUGACCGCACCCCCAUCCACUCUUGGUGAUGCUGCUUUAGCUCUCCAUUAUGCAAAUGUGAUUUUAUUGAUUGAGGAUCUGGCUUCAUCACCUCACUUAAUUGGCCUUGACAAGAGAGAUGUUCUGUACAAUAUGUUACCCACGACUAUAAGAACUGCUCUGAGGGCGAGGCUAAAGUCGUAUGCCGGAACCAUGGCCUCAUCUGUUUACAAUGCUGCCCUAGUAGUGGAGUGGAGUCAGGCGCUUGGGCAGAUAUUGGAAUGGCUGGUUCCACUUGCUCUAAACAUGGUGAAGUGGCAUUCUGAGCGGAAUUUUGAGAAGCAGGAUGCAUUUUCUGGAACAAAUGUGAUGCUGGUCCAGACCCUUUACUUUGCAAAUCAAGCAAAAACUGAAGCUGCAAUCACCGAGCUUCUUGUGGGUCUGAACUAUAUCUGCAGGACUGGUGGACAGCGUCGUGAUAAAGAUGUGCAGGAGCCUGCUGGCUGCAGAGUUUAUAAUGAUUAUAUGUCCAAUAGGGAUGACAUUGCUGAAUGCUGAUGAUGUUUUAUAAAUUACGAGAGAUUUUUCUCCUAGGCGUCGUAAAAUGUACAUUAUCAAUAUAGAGAAAUGUUCCAUUCAAAUGGGAUGUGGUGGGGUUCAGAACAUAGAAGGCAUUCCUUCAAUUAUUAAGCCUUACGUUGCCUCUUUUGCAAAACCUUGUGAAGCCAUAGAUCAACUCAACGUGCAACCCUGAUUGAUGUUCCGCAGCUCUGAACUCAAUGUUUAUGUCUUCCUGAACUCGUGUGUUUCUGGUCUGGGGAUUCACUUCCCCGUGAAGUUGUCAUUUCAGAAUUGGGAUUUCGUAGAACAUUUUUGCCCAAAUUUCAGGGAAUUCAGCGUGAGCUAAGCAAAUACCAACCAACCCUAUGAUUUGUAUUGAGGAUAUUGUCGGUGUACUGUGUGAGCUAAGAAAAUACCAACGAACGCAAUGAUUU